rnacentral:rRNA from 1 species
UACGAAGGGUGCGAGCGUUGUUCGGAAUUACUGGGCGUAAAGGGUUUGUAGGCUGAAAUGUAAGUCAAGUGUGAAAUCCCCGAGCUAAACUUGGGACGUGCAUUUGAAACUGUGUUUCUUGAGUAUCGUAGAGGGUGGUGGAAUUGCAGGUGUAGGAGUGACAUCCGUAGAGAUCUGCAGGAACAUCGGAGGCGAAGGCGACCACCUGGCCGAUUACUGACGCUGAGGAACGAAAGCGUGGGGAGCAAGCAGG